CCCCGGAAGUUGAUUUCCGCCAAUGCCCGCCCAAGGCCGCGCCUGUCACUCAACGCCCACACCGCGUCACGUGUUCCUAUGCUGAGGCCGGGCCCGGGGGCCCCAUCUUCACAGGCCCGCCACGCCUGGCUCGAGUGGUCUUCGGAGCCGUGCCCUGGGAAAGCGGUUGACUCACGCGCUACUUCCUGGUGGUUACAUCUUCUAAUGCCCCUUGAAUGACAGGCCCUUUUUCUAUAUCUAAUCCAUGCAAAUCAAACCGUCCCCGAGUUGGCACUGCCAUCCGGGACUUUGUAGGAUUGUUCCAGAGAAGAGGAACAAUCCUCUUCACCACCUCCAAGCAGAGUUCUCUAACUACUGGAACUGAGUUAAAUGCUGACGUGUGCUCAAGAAACAGUGGACUAGACAACUGCUACAUCUCCUCUUGACGUAUCGGAACUCUCAAAGCACCAGGAUGCACCCAAGCCCAGAGCCUUUCCAGACCACUGCUGUAUGACUUCAGCCAAAGAGCUCUGCUCUAGAAUUACGUAUGUUCUUGUCUUCAUCUCCAGAUCACAGCAAUUUGUAGAUGCCAUCUCUGUUUCAGAGAGAAUCAAUUUUCAGCUACCAAGACCCCCCCUUUUUUCCAAACCUUCAAAUAAUUUCAACUAAAGAAAAGAGAGAAUGACAAAACUGACCGUUUUAUUUGAAAGCAGGCAUGGUUAUAUAGAUUUUUUUUUUUUUUUUGGUCCAUUGCAGACUGUCCAUAGAUGUGAAAGAAAAACAAUUACCAGGACAUUUGUUAAAGAUUUUUCCAUUUUUGACAUGGGAGGCAUUUGGGGAACAUCUAUUUAACAAUUUACAUAACAAUUUUUUACUGUCCCUACUGAGCCAAGUUGGGACAAUCCAAGAGUGCACAGGAUACACUCAAGAUCUUUGCCUUCAAGGAGUUAACAGUCUAGUAAGAAAGACAGACAAAUAACCUAGGAAUUUGAGCAUAAGUCUCUGGAAUAUUCAUGUUCAUUGUAUAAUAGGCAUUCUUUAACGUUCUGAACUUUAACAUUUUGGACAUUAUUUUUCUCAUCUUUCCAUUGAACAAAACUGGCUCAAGCCUGUAAUAAUCUCUGCUCUGUACUGGAGGUGGAAUAUGUCAGCAAGGAAUCCUAACAAUCAGUUCUCCAGUAAGUGCAGGCUCAAGUGAUUAAUGAACAGUUUCAAUAUGGAGCAUGAAUGUCACCUCUUCUACACCCUUUUUUCCUGUCCACCAUCUUCUUUGUGUGCAUAGCAAACAGAUUUCUAUUAUAGGAAAUCUGAUGCUUUCUUACACAUAUUUGUUUACCUAUCUACUAGACCACCAAGUCAAGGACCACUUCUCAGUUGUAUAGCUUUUUUUUUUGUUUUUUUACUAGAUCACUGCUUUAUUAUACAACCCACGAUGCUAAUAGAUUGUAACCUUCUGAGAAGAGAAACAUGGUUCCUGCCCUCAAGAAGAUAAAUUUGGAGCUGAUAUGGAGAAACAAAUGAAAUAGAGUGAUAAUAAGCAUGGAAAUCAAGUUUAUUGUUGAAAUGUGGAGGAGGACCAUCUCAUUCACCCUGCACUAAACAGGAAGUACUUCUCAUAAAAUGUAAAGCUCAAGAUGAGUCUUGAAGAAUCAGUAGGAAUUGGCCAAGCUAAGAAGAGAUGAAAGUGUGCUCCAGAUAAAGGAAAAUGUACCUGUAUAUGUAUUUCCUUGCCUAUGAACUGUUGAGAGAUCAUCCAACAAGCACAAACCUCAGGACAAUUGCUCAAUGAUUGUUGGAAGGAAUUUUCUCUCUUCCUGAGGAGAUACGUGAAGAAGCAUGUAAUUCCUAUUGCUUUUAACAAUCAUCUUGUGACCAUGAAGGAGACCUGUCUGAGGAUAAAAGCAGAUGCAGAUUGCAGAACAAACCUGAUAUAAAUUGGAGAAAUGGAUCCGAAGCUUUGAUUAAAUCAGUUCUAAAGCUUCCUUCACCUCCACGGGACUUUUCAUUUAUGUAAACAAUUUCCACUUAUUAUUUAAUCCAUUUUGAAUUAGGUUUUCUGUUACUUUCAAUCCCAGGUGUUUUAACUGGCAGAAAGAUUCUGUAUCUGUAUCUUCAUUUUAAAUGUCAGAAAAUAAGUUGUCAUUUUCUUAAAAUGGAAAAGAGCCUUGUUUUCCUUCUUCCCUUUGAACAUGCUCAUACCAGAGUGAGAUUGAAAAUGAGCUGCUGUCCCUGAGAGCAGUUCUUUCACAUUCAUAUGAUACUCAGCUUUCACAUUUAACCAAUGGGAAACUAUUUCAAAUAUUGAUUUGUAACAUUAUAUAUGAAGUAUAUAAAGAAUAAACUGUGAAAGCUUUAUGUAAGCACCUUUCUGGCCCUUCCUCCAGUCAGGUCUCCUUUGAAUUCUGUACAGGAUGUAACCCAUUAAUAAAAACUUCAUUCUAUAGGAGAUAUGUGAACCCUAACUUCUCACUCUUUUGUAAAUUGUCAUUGGUCACCAUUUGGUUUUGACAGUUUAGCUUGAUUUAUAACUGGGCAAGAAUCACUCCCUAAUGUUUGAAAAUAUGAAUUAGGCCUCAGGGCCUAAUACACAAAAGAAGGCCCAAGGCAGAAAAUGAAACAAGAAAAGCCAUCAUUUCAUUCAUGUAAUCAUUAUAGUAAAUUAAUAAACACUUAUUUACACGAUGAGUUGCCUUUAACUAUGAUCUCCAAAUAAUAACACAGAAAU